rnacentral:rRNA from 1 species
UACGGAGGGUGCGAGCGUUGUCCGGAAUUACUGGGCGUAAAGGGCGCGUAGGUGGCCUUCUUAGUCAGACGUGAAAUCCCCGGGCUUAACUCGGGAACUGCGUCUGAUACUGGAAGGCUGGAGUUCGGGAGAGGAAUGUGGAAUUCCAGGUGUAGCGGUGAAAUGCGUAGAUAUCUGGAGGAACACCGGUGGCGAAGGCGGCAUUCUGGACCGAAACUGACGCUGAGGCGCGAAAGCGUGGGGAGCGAACAGG